UAGGGAAUCUUCGGCAAUGGGGGCAACCCUGACCGAGCAACGCCGCGUGAGUGAAGAAGGUUUUCGGAUUGUAAAGCUCUGUUGUAAGAGAAGAACGUGUGUGAGAGUGGAAAGUUCACACAGUGACGGUAACUUACCAGAAAGGGACGGCUAACUACGUGCCAC
rnacentral:rRNA from 1 species